ACAAACUUGGUCAUUUAGAGGAAGUAAAAGUCGUAACAAGGUUUCCGUAGGUGAACCUGCGGAAGGAUCAUUAAAGGGAUUUGGGGCUCGUCCCCGUUCUCCCGUCCGUGUAAACGUUUUGGCCCUCUGCUAUGUUACGUCGGCGGGUCUUGUCCCGCCGCCCAGCAAGCACAAAACUCUGAUUUAACGUGUCGUCUGAAUGCAACGUCAAUAAAUCAAAACUUUCAACAACGGAUCUCUUGGUUCUGGCAUCGAUGAAGAACGCAGC
rnacentral:misc_RNA from 1 species